CCUACGGGGGGCAGCAGUGAGGAAUAUUGGUCAAUGGACGAGAGUCUGAACCAGCCAAGUAGCGUGAAGGAUGACUGCCCUAUGGGUUGUAAACUUCUUUUAUAUGGGAAUAAAAUGUUCCACGUGUGGGAUUUUGUAUGUACCAUAUGAAUAAGGAUCGGCUAACUCCGUGCCAGCAGCCGCGGUAAUACGGAGGUUCCGAGCGUUAUCCGGAUUUAUUGGGUUUAAAGGGAGCGUAGGUGGAUUGUUAAGUCAGUUGUGAAAGUUUGCGGCUCAACCGUAAAAUUGCAGUUGAAACUGGCAGUCUUGAGUACAGUAGAGGUGGGCGGAAUUCGUGGUGUAGCGGUGAAAUGCUUAGAUAUCACGAAGAACUCCGAUUGCGAAGGCAGUUCACUGGACUGCAACUGACACUGAGGCUCGAAAGUGUGGGUAUCAAACAGGAUUAGAUACCCGGGUAGUC
rnacentral:rRNA from 1 species